AUCCAGCUGACGAGUCUGAAAUAGGACGAAACGCGUGUCAAACUGGAU
rnacentral:hammerhead_ribozyme from 1 species